UACGUAGGGACCAAGCGUUGUUCGGAUUUACUGGGCGUAAAGGGCGCGUAGGCGGCGUGGUAAGUCACUUGUGAAAUCUCUGAGCUUAACUCAGAACGGCCAAGUGAUACUGCUGUGCUAGAGUGCAGAAGGGGCAAUCGGGAAUUCUUGGUGUAGCGGUGAAAUGCGUAGAUAUCAAGAGGAACACCUGAGGUGAAGACGGGUUGCUGGGCUGACACUGACGCUGAUGCGCGAAAGCCAGGGGAGCAAACGGG
rnacentral:rRNA from 1 species